UAGAGUCGCCGCAUUUUGUCGAAAAGACUU
rnacentral:piRNA from 1 species